AGCAGCCGCGGUAAUUCCAGCUCCAAUAGCGUAUAUUAAAGUUGCUGCAGUUAAAAGCUCGUAGUUGAAUUUCGGGACUAAUAUGUCGGUCGUGCCUCGGUACGUACUGGCUUAUUGGUUUCUCCUUUCUGAAGAACCAUGAUGUCAUUUAUUUGGUGUCGUGGGGAAUCAGGACUGUUACUUUGAAAAACUAGAGUGUUUAAAGCAGGCUCACGCUUGAAUACAUUAGCAUGGAAUAAUGAAAUAGGACGUUUGAUUCUAUUUUGUUGGUUUCUAGGAUCGACGUAAUGAUUAAUAGGGAUAGUUGGGGGCAUUAGUAUUCAAUUGUCAGAGGUGAAAUUCUUGGAUUUAUUGAAGACUAACUACUGCGAAAGCAUUUGCCAAGGAUGUUUUCAUUAAUCAAGAACGAAAGUUAGGGAUCGAAGACGAUCAGAUACCGUCGUAGUCUUAACCAUAAACUAUGCCGACUAGGGAUCGGAUGAUGUUAAUUUUUUAAUGUACUCAUUCGGCGCCUUAACC
rnacentral:misc_RNA from 1 species